AACGAACGCUGGCGGCAUGCCUAACACAUGCAAGUCGAACGAGAACUUCGGGUCUAGUGGCGCAUGGGUGCGUCACGCGUGGGAACCUGCCCUUAGGUUCGGAAUACCUCCCCGAAAGGGGUGCUAAUACGGAACAAUGUCUUCGACCCAAAGAUUUAUCGCCUCUGGAUGUGCCCGCGUUGGAUUAGCUAGUUGGUAGGGUAAAAGCCUACCAAGGCGCCGAUCCAUAGCUGGUCUGAGAGGAUGAUCAGCGACACUGCGAGUGAGACGCGGCCCGGACUCCUACGGGAAGCAGGAGUGGGGAAUGUUGGAAAAUGGGCGAAAGCCUGAUGCAGUAAUGCCGCGUGAGUGAUGAAAGCAUGAGAGUUGUAAAGCUCUUUUAACCGGGAUGAUAAUGACAGUACCGGGAGAAUAAGCUCCGGCUAACUCCGUG
rnacentral:rRNA from 1 species